AGUCACUGACAUUAGAUACCCGGGUAGUCCAGGGUGUAAACGCUGCAGACUUGGUGUUGGAGGCCCUUUGGGGGCAUUCAGUGCCGGAGAGAAGUUGUUAAGUCUGCUACUUGGGAGUACGUCCGCAAGGAUGAAACUUAAGGAAUUGGCGGGGAGCACCGCAACGGGAGGAGCGUGCGGUUUAAUUGGAUUCAACACCGUAAAACUCACCAGGGAAGACUGUUACAUGAAGGCCGAGAUGAAGACUCUGCUAGAUUUUCAG
rnacentral:rRNA from 1 species